AAAACAUAUAGAUGUGACAUACAAGCCAUGGCAAAGCCUGUUCAAGAAAUUGCUAUUAUGAGUCAAAUGGCAGCAACAUCUACCAUGGGGGGAUUGUCGACUGGCAACCACAGGAGACAGAAUGAGAGAAAGAGGCAAUUUUUUACGUUCAUGCAUCAAGGUCAUAAGAUAUGUAGAGUAACAUUUCUGAAGCUACAUGCAUGUGGCAAAAGCAGGUUUGAGGAAAUCAUGAAAAACUACAGAAUGAAUGGAUUAAUACCAAGGUAUGAGACUUACAAAUUCAAUGUUAUGUACUUAACUUUAUUAGAGUUCACGGAAAUGCUGGAAAGACACCAAACCAUGCUUUGACUUAUAAUGAUAUUCUCCGGGUUGUUGCUUUCAUCAGAAAUUACGCUGAAGUCCAUG